AAGUCGUGACGUGAACACUUGCGCAAUAAAUCUUUAUAUAUCUCCCUUGCCUCAUAUAAUGAUUCACCCUCAAUUUGGGUGAAAGUAGUAAUAUCAUUCAUUAACUU